GGGACUAUGGAUUAGUGGUAGAACAUCUGCUUUGCAUGCACAAAGUCCCAGAUUCAGUUCCUGGCAUUUCCA
rnacentral:tRNA from 1 species